rnacentral:sRNA from 1 species
UCACGUAGAUGUUGUAACGUGGUAACAUA